CUGCUCCUCCAGGAGCUCCUAGUGGGCCUCCAGGUGGUCCUCCAGGAGGUCCUUUGCUCCUCCAGGAGGUCCUUUUGGUCCUUGAGGAGGUCCUUUGCUACUCCAGGAGGUCCUGGUGGUCCUCCAGGUGGUCCUUUUGGUCCUCCAGGUGGUCCUCCAGGAGGUCCUUUUGGUCCUCCAGGAGGUCCUUUUGGUCCUUGAGGAGGUCCUUUGCUACUCCAGGUGGUCCUCUUGGUCCUCCAGGUGGUCCUUUUGGGCCUCCAGGUGGUUCUCCAGGAGGUCCUUUGCUCCUCCAGGAGGUCCUUUUGGUCCUUGAGGAGGUCCUUUGCUCCUCCAGGAGGUCCUUUGCUACUCCAGGAGGUCCUUUUGGUCCUCCAGGUGGUCCUCCAGGAGGUCCUUCACUCCUCCAGGUGGUCCUUUUGGUCCUUGAGGAGGUCCUUUGCUACUCCAGGAGGUCCUUUUUGUCCUCCAGGUGGUCCUAUUGGUCCUCCAGGCGGUCCUCCAGGAGGUCCUUCACUCCUCCAGGAGGUCCUUUUGGUCCUUGAGGAGGUCCUUUUGGUCCUUGAGGAGGUCCUUUGCUCCUCCAGGAGGUCCUUUGCUACUCCAGGUGGUCCUAUGGUCCUCCAGGUGGUCCUCCAGGAGGUCCUUCACUCCUCCAGGAGGUCCUUUUGGUCCUUGAGGAGGUCCUUUGCUACUCCAGGAGGUCCUUUUGGUCCUCCAGGUGGGCCUCUGCUACUCCAGGUGGUCCUCUUGGUCCUCCAGGUGGUCCUUUUGGUCCUCCAGGUGGUCCUUGAGGAGGUCCUUUGCUCCUCCAGGAGGUCCUUUGCUACUCCAGGUGGUCCUUUUGGUCCUCCAGGUGGUCCUCCAGGAGGUCCUUUGCUCCUCCAGGAGGUCCUUUUGGUCCUUGAGGAGGUCCUUUGCUACUCCAGGAGGUCCUUUUUGUCCUC